GGAAGUGUGGGUGAGCGGCCGAAACCACCGUCCUGCUAAGACGGCAAACGCCCCUAAAGCGUUUCGCGGGUUCAAAUCCCGCCACUUCCGCCA
rnacentral:tRNA from 1 species